rnacentral:rRNA from 1 species
CCUACGGGAGGCAGCAGUGGGGAAUAUUGGGCAAUGGGCGCAAGCCUGACCCAGCAACGCCGCGUGAAGGAAGAAGGCCCUCGGGUUGUAAACUUCUUUUAUUCGGGACGAAACAAAUGACGGUACCGAAUGACUAAGCCACGGCUAACUACGUGCCAGCAGCCGCGGUAAUACGUAGGUGGCAAGCGUUAUCCGGAUUUACUGGGUGUAAAGGUCGGGUAGGCGGGAGGGCAAGUCAGACGUGAAAUUCCAGGGCUCAACCCUGGAACUGCGUUUGAAACUGUUCUUCUUGAGUGAAGGAGAGGCAGGCGGAAUGCCGGGUGUAGCGGUGAAAUGCGUAGAUAUACGGAGGAACACCAGUGGCGAAGGCGGCCUGCUGGACAUUAACUGACGCUGAGGCGCGAAAGCGUGGGGAGCAAACAGGAUUAGAUACCCGGGUAGUC